AUUGAACGCUGGCGGCAUGCCUUACACAUGCAAGUCGAACGGUAGAGGGGGCAACCCCUUGAGAGUGGCGAACGGGUGAGUAAUGCAUCGGAACGUGCCCAGUUGUGGGGGAUAACACUUCGAAAGAAGUGCUAAUACCGCAUACGACCUGAGGGUGAAAGCGGGGGACUCGCAAGAGCCUCGCGCAAUUGGAGCGGCCGAUGUCAGAUUAGGUAGUUGGUGGGGUAAAGGCCUACCAAGCCGACGAUCUGUAGCUGGUCUGAGAGGACGACCAGCCACACUGGGACUGAGACACGGCCCAGACUCCUACGGGAGGCAGCAGUGGGGAAUUUUGGACAAUGGACGCAAGUCUGAUCCAGCCAUGCCGCGUGCAGGAGGAAGGCCUUCGGGUUGUAAACUGCUUUUGUCAGGGAAGAAAUCCCUUGGGUUAAUACCUCGGGGGGAUGACGGUACCUGAAGAAUAAGCACCGGCUAACUACGUGCCAGCCGCCGCCGUAAAAC
rnacentral:rRNA from 1 species